GACGAACGCUGGCGGCGUGCUUAACACAUGCAAGUCGAACGGAAAGGCCCUGCUUUUGUGGGGUGCUCGAGUGGCGAACGGGUGAGUAACACGUGAGUAACCUGCCCUUGACUUUGGGAUAACUUCGGGAAACUGGGGCUAAUACCGGAUAGGAGCUCCUGCUGCAUGGUGGGGGUUGGAAAGUUUCGGCGGUUGGGGAUGGACUCGCGGCUUAUCAGCUUGUUGGUGGGGUAGUGGCUUACCAAGGCUUUGACGGGUAGCCGGCCUGAGAGGGUGACCGGCCACAUUGGGACUGAGAUACGGCCCAGACUCCUACGGGAGGCAGCAGUGGGGAAUAUUGCACAAUGGGCGGAAGCCUGAUGCAGCAACGCCGCGUGCGGGAUGACGGCCUUCGGGUUGUAAACCGCUUUCGCCUGUGACGAAGCGUGAGUGACGGUAAUGGGUAAAGAAGCACCGGCUAACUACGUG
rnacentral:rRNA from 1 species